rnacentral:rRNA from 1 species
CCUUGUUAAUCCUUUUAGUAGGCAUAUGCUUGUCUCAAAGAUUAAGCCAUGCAUGUCAAAGUAUGAACUAAUUUAGACUGUGAAACUACGGCUGGUGCAUUAAAUCACUUAUAGUUUUUUUUAUGGUACCAUACUACUCAGAUAACCAUAGUAAUUCUAGAGCUAAUACGUGCACCAAGUCCUAACUCUUUGGAAGGGAUGCAUUUUUUAGAUAAAAAGCAAGCAUGGGCUUGUUGUCUUCUCCGGUGAAUCAUGAUAACUCGACAGAUCGCACAUUCCUUAUGCUGGCGAUGCUUCAUUAAAAUUUCUGCCCUAUCAACUUUCGAUGGUAGGAUAGAGGCCUACCAUAGUUUUGAUGGGUGAAAGAGAAUUAGUGUACGAUUCCAGAGAGGGAGCCUGAGCAAUGGCUACCACAUCCAAGGAAGCCAGCAGGCACACAAAUUACCCAAUCCUAACAUGGGUAGGUAUUGACAAUAAAUAAUAAUACUGGGUUCAUCGAGUCUAGUAAUUUGAAUGAGUGCAAUCUAAAUCCCUUAAUGAGGAUCCAUUGAAGGGAAAGUCUGGUGCCAAAAGCCGCAGUAUUUCUAGCUCCAAUAGCAUAUAUUUAAGUUAUUGCAGUUAAAAUGCUCGUAGUGUGAUCUUGGGUUGUAAAGGUCGGUUCGCCUACUCAGUGUGCACCUGCCCUUUUGUCCCUUUUGUAGGUGGCAUGCUCCUAGCUUUAAUUGGUUGGGUUGGGCUCCAGCAUGGUUUCUUUGAAGAACUGAAGUGCUCAAAGCAAGCUUAUUCUCUGAAUACAUUAGCAUGGAAUAACAUGAUAGGAAUUUGGUCCUCUUGUGUUGGCCUCCAGGACCGAAGUAAUGAUUAAUAUGGACCGUCAGGGGCAUUCGUAUUACAUUGUCAGAGGUGAAAUUCUUGGAUUUAUGAAAGAUGGGCCACUGUGAAAGAAUUUUCCAAGGAUGUUUUCAUUAAUAAAUAAUGAAAGUUGGGGACUCGAAGAGGAUCAGAUACCAUCCUAGUCUCAACCAUAAAUGAUGUCGACCAGGGAUCGAUGGAUGUUGUUAUAAGGACUCUGCCAGUACCUUGUAAGAAAUCAAAGUGUUUGGGUUCCAGGGGCGGUAUGGUUGCAAGGUUGAAACUUAAAGGAAUUGACAGAAUGGAACCACCAGGAGUGGUGCUUGCAGCUUAAUUUGAUUCAACAUGGAGAAACUUACUAGGUCUCGACAUAGUAAGGAUUGACAUAUUGAGAGCUCUUUCUUGAUUCUAUGGGUGGUGGUGCAUGGCAAUUCUUAGAUGGUGGAGCAAUUUGUCUAGUUAACUCUGAUAACGAAUGAGACCUCAGCCUACAAACUAGCUAUGCCAAGGUUCCCCUUCCUGGCCAACUUCUUAGAGGGACUAUGGCCGUUUAGGCCAUGGAAGUUUGAGGCAAUAACUGGUUUGUGGUGCCCUUAGAUGUUCUGGGCCACAUGCAUGUUACACUGAUGCAACUAAUGUGUUUUUCUUCACAGUUCGAGAGGAUCAGAAAAUAUUCUCAAAUUGCAUUAUGAUGGUUAUAGACCAUUGCAAUUAUUGGUAUUCAACAAGGAAUUCCUAGUAAGCGCAUGUCAUCAAAUCGUGUUGACUACAUCCUUGCCCUUUUUACACAUCGCCCAUCACUCCUACCGAUUGAAUGAUCCAGUGAAGUGUUCGGAUUGUGUCGAUGAUGGUGGUUCGUCGUCGUUGACAUCGUGAGAAGCUCAUUGAACCUUAUCAUUUAGAGGAAGGAGAAGUCGUAACAAGGUUACCGUAGGUGAAGCUACCGUAG